rnacentral:rRNA from 1 species
UACGUAGGGUGCGAGCGUUGUCCGGAAUUACUGGGCGUAAAGCGCGCGUAGGCGGCUUUGUAAGUUAGAGGUGAAAGCCCGGGGCUCAACCCCGGAACUGCCUUUAAAACUGCAUCGCUUGAAUCCGGGAGAGGUGAGUGGAAUUCCGAGUGUAGAGGUGAAAUUCGUAGAUAUUCGGAAGAACACCAGUGGCGAAGGCGGCUCACUGGACCGGCAUUGACGCUGAGGUGCGAAAGCGUGGGGAGCAAACAGG